CCUACGGGCCAAAGAGGGGGACCUUCGGGCCUCUCGCGUCAGGAUAUGCCUAGGUGGGAUUAGCUAGUUGGUGAGGUAAGGGCUCACCAAGGCGACGAUCCCUAGCUGGUCUGAGAGGAUGAUCAGCCACACUGGAACUGAGACACGGUCCAGACUCCUACGGGAGGCAGCAGUGGGGAAUAUUGCACAAUGGGCGCAAGCCUGAUGCAGCCAUGCCGCGUGUGUGAAGAAGGCCUUCGGGUUGUAAAGCACUUUCAGUCGUGAGGAAGGYRGUGUAGUUAAUAGCUGCAUYRUUUGACGUUAGCGACAGAAGAAGCACCGGCUAACUCCGUGCCAGCAGCCGCGGUAAUACGGAGGGUGCGAGCGUUAAUCGGAAUUACUGGGCGUAAAGCGCAUGCAGGUGGUUUGUUAAGUCAGAUGUGAAAGCCCGGGGCUCAACCUCGGAAUUGCAUUUGAAACUGGCAGACUAGAGUACUGUAGAGGGGGGUAGAAUUUCAGGUGUAGCGGUGAAAUGCGUAGAGAUCUGAAGGAAUACCGGUGGC
rnacentral:rRNA from 1 species